CAAAUAAUUUAAAUAUUUAAUGAAAUUUGAAAAAAUUUGUGAAUUUCAUUUAUUCAACUGCGAAAAUCUACGACCAAAACGAAUACGACACACAACGACUAAAUAUAUGUAUGUAUGUGCAUAUGACUACAUACAUAUGAUACGACGACAUCAUCGCUAUCAACACACAACGUUUUUAGGCCAAGUAACAACAAUAGCAAACACCGUUCUACGAGUCACAACGAGCGCGCUAGCGAGCAGUUGUUUGAAACGAUCAGACUUCAACUUGCAAAACUCGCAAUCAGCUGAAAAUUUUGACUCACACACAUACAUACCUACACGAACAGACGCGUGCAUACCCGCCCAUAUUUCCAGUCAUACAUACAGACACAAGAACGACAAAAAUACGCUCAGUUGAUGGACUUUAACAACGACAACGUAACGAUGAUGUACGAAUAAAAAAUAAUAAACACCUUAGACAAGUGUGGAAUAAUUCCGAUGAGAAUUCAGUUCCAUAACACUCAAAUAAAAAGCAAAAUGGAUAACUAAAUGCAGUUGAAAUCAAUCAACAGCAGCAACAGCAGCAGAAGCAGGAGAAGUAGCAGCAGCAAUCACAAUUGCAUUGCGCAAUAGUCACGCCCACACCACCGAACGACGACCACAACGACGAUAACCAGCACCCCCCCUGCAAAUCCCCCCAACCGCCGGCCAACUCGUAAAGAUCAACUGGAGUUAAGGAGCCAACUUGUAUGCGCAUCUUAAAACCCACAAAAGAACAAAGGAUCCACAGCAGCAGCCUUAUCCACACGGGAAAAACACACGCAUCCCCCCACACCACAACAACAACAAAAAAAAUAUAUAAUACAUUAGACUAAAAGCAGUCAGCGAGAACAAAUUAAUUUAAAAACAUAAAUAUUAAUAUCCUGCGUUUAAAUAAUUUAACAACACAAAAAAGCAGUUAGUUCAAAGCAUAUUCCGAUUAAUUCAGCAAGUAAAGCGUUAAACACCUGUGCAACGCGGUAAACUACAUAAGAUUGCAACACAACACAGUGUGCAACAGUGAAAUUUAGCAAAUUCAA